GUCUGAACGGGUACACUGAGGUCUAGAUGGGUACAUUGUGAUAUAUUUUCCUGGAUCAUCACCUACUGGCACAUCCUUUACAGUAAUCUUAUUGGCAUAGGGUCAUCCCUGGAUCACCUACUCAUAUCAAAUCACCCUAAGCCUGAGGCCUACUGUGGCUGAGCUGAAACCUCGCAGGCCUUAGCCUGGAAGGUAAUCGAGGGCACAGCUUUGCAUGGCUUCUCUCCUGUAACACCAAGAACAGCUCUGAUGCUAGUUGAGUUGCUGUCCUUUUCCUGCUGCAGCUGCUCCUCUACAGGCUGUCUGCUACAUCACAAAGGAAGAAGAGCAGACACCAUUAACAGAUGUGACUUCUCUUGGUGUAAACAAACAAACCUGGUUCUGCUUUAGAGCAAGAGUUACUGUCCAUGUAUGCAUACAAUUUUGAAGCAGAUGCAACAGAUUUUAAGUCAGGACAUUUUUCUCCCCUAUUUCCCACUCUACUGUAGAGAAGAACAUAUACCGGUGUCUGGGUAUACAGUUACCAUUUUGUCAAGUAGUCCAGUUGAUCAUAAAGAAAAGCUACAAGUGAUCACCAUUUAGAAGCUUCAACAUGAACUGACAAGAGAAAAUCGGAUUCUU